rnacentral:rRNA from 1 species
UACGGAGGGUGCAAGCAUUGAUCGGAAUUACUGGGCGUAAAGGGCGCGUAGGCGGUCUGAAAAGUCAGAUGUGAAAUUCCGGGGCUCAACCCCGGAGCUGCAUUUGAAACCUUCAGACUUGAGGUUGGUAAGGGAAAACAGAAUUCCACGUGUAGCGGUGAAAUGCGUAGAUAUGUGGAAGAAUACCGGUGGUGAAGACGGUUUUCUGUACUAAACCUGACGCUGAGGCGCGAAAGCUAGGGGAGCAAACAGG